rnacentral:rRNA from 1 species
UACGUAGGGUGCAAGCGUUAAUCGGAAUUACUGGGCGUAAAGCGUGCGCAGGCGGCUUUGCAAGACAGAUGUGAAAUCCCCGGGCUUAACCUGGGAACUGCCAUUUGUGACUGCAUGGCUAGAGUGCGGCAGAGGGGAUGGAAUUCCGCGUGUAGCAGUGAAAUGCGUAGAUAUGCGGAGGAACACCGAUGGCGAAGGCAAUCCCCUGGGCCUGUACUG